AAGUCGUAACAAGGUUUCCGUAGGUGAACCUGCGGAAGGAUCAUUAACACGUAUCCAACGUUAAACAACCCUGUGAACUUUCAACGCUCUUGUAGCCCCAGAGGAACAGCAAUCCCGGUAAAUCAAUGGCGGAAAAGUUUUGAUUCGGGACCUCUGUCCAAAAGGUAUCAAGUUACAAUCGAGCAGAGCAGUGGCAUGGUUUCCCUAAGCAGUGCAGAAGGAUCCACUGAGUAAGGAUAACGCAUUAGGCAAGGGGUGAAUGAAGGGGCGUAAAGCCCUGUGACAUGUCUGCCGGCCGGUGAUCGACCUCUGGCAACCAUAAUCAAGCCUCGCGGAAACGCCGGGCAUAAAAACCGAACAACUGUUAACAAUGGAUAUCUUGGUUCUC
rnacentral:misc_RNA from 1 species